rnacentral:lncRNA from 1 species
GCAACCAUAAUUGAACAUUUCUUUUGGAAUUUUUAUAUUUUUCUUUAAAUGUUUAAAUAUGCAAAUCAUCUUUGCAAAUAACAAGAGUUUUGAUUUUAGACAUGUAAAACUUUUUUUUAAUCCCUACAAAUAUAUGUUUUUUUGCUUUUAAUCUAUGUUAUGUUUUAGUCAUUGCAAAAUUGAUUCAUAUAAUAAUUAUCUUAUUUAAUAAUGAUUUUCACUAUUCAGGUAAAUUUUUUUAGAGUAAAUUACACUCAUCCCCUCUCAAAGAUGCUUGAAUUACACUCUCCUCCUCUCUUAUGCUAAAAUAUACAAUCUCCUCCCUUGAAAAGUAAAAUUUAUACUCUCAUCCUUUAUAAGAUGCUUAAAUUACAACUCUCUCUUAAUAAUUAAAUAUGCACUACACUACACCAUUUAGGACCGGAGGGAGCAUAUCAUGGUUACCAAAAACUUUAUAGAAAUGAUAUUUGCCAAACCUGUAGAAUGGAAAAGGUUGAUUUGAAAAAUGUAAUUCUACUUGUGCUAUGCGAGUAGUUGUUUAGCAAAAUCCCUCGAUUUUAUACUCCUACAAAUACGUGAGUAGUUAAAUUUUGAAUUGACAUAUAAUGCUAAAAGAUAAGGUAAUAACAAAUAAUUUAAGCAAUUAUAAAAAAUUAGGUUUUAAAGAUAAAAUAUAACAAAAACCAUUAAAAAAAAAGAAAAAGAUAUAAUAUAUGUAGUUUGUUGAGACAAUUAUGUUACAUAAAAAAAAAAAAAAAAAAUACUAAAAAUUAAAAAAAUAAUAAAAAAUAAUAAAUUUAUUGAAAUAAACUAUGAUAAAGUAAAACAAAACAACAUUAAAAAAUGGAAAUAAAAUAAAAGGAACCUAGAUUUUUUUUUUGAAGGAACCUGGAUUUAUAGUUAAAAUUUAAAUUGGAAUAAGAUGCUAAAAGAUAAAUAAAAGAAGUAACGGAUAAUUUAAGCAAUUUUAAAAGUUAGGUUUUAGAAAAUAAGAUAUAACAAAAACAAAACAAAAAUAUAUAAAAUAUAUUUAGUUUGUUGAGAUAUUUAUGCUACAUAAAUAAAAAAUAAUGAAUAAAAUAUAUGUAAGAGAAAUAAUAGAAUUGGUGUUUGGCAAACCUGAAUAAGGAAAAAAGUUAGAUGAAAAGAAGGUUUGGGGUUUUCGUUUAUACUCAAAAAUAUGUUAAUAUGUGAUUAACAAAAAUUCCUUUAUUUAUAGUUAACAUUUACACUAGAAUAUGCUGCUAAUAACUAAUCGAAACCUUUUUUUUCUCAAAAAGAAAAACUAAUUCAAUGAUAUGGUUCUAAACAAUUAGUUAGCAACUAAUUGAAGCUUCUUUUCCUUAAAAAAAAAUAAAAAUCAAUUGGAGCCUUUUAAUUAUAAAAUAAAAUCAUAUAUGUAAACUUUGUUAAAAGUAUAAUAAGUAGUUUGUUGAGAUUAAAAACCUUACUUUAUAUCUAUAUAUAUAUAUAUAUAUUGAUUUCAAACUUUGAUUUUGUUCUCCUUCAUGGUCACAUCUAAGCAAUAACUUUCACCAAAAAUAAACCAUUUUAACCGUCAAUCAAUUAUCUCAAUUGAAAUGUGAAAUAAGUAGAAUUUAAAAAGAAAAUGUACUAACUUGUUUUGAUGAAUUGUAUAUUGUUACAGAAUUUGCCCAAUUUAGAGAUAAUUGACCUCAAUGGCUCCAAAAAGCUGAUAGAGUGUCCAAACGUGUCUGGUUCUCCGAAUCUAAAAGAAGUAAUACUUAGAGAAUGUGAAAGCAUGCCU